CCCUUAGAUGUUCUGGGCCGCACGCGCGCUACACUGAUGCAUUCAACGAGCCUAGCCUUGACCGAGAGGUCCGGGUAAUCUUUGAAACUGCAUCGUGAUGGGGCUAGAUUAUUGCAAUUAUUAAUCUUCAACGAGGAAUGCCUAGUAAGCGUGAUUCAUCAAAUCGCGUUGAUUACGUCCCUGCCCUUUGUACACACCGCCCGUCGCUCCUACCGAUUGGGUGUGCUGGUGAAAUGUUCGGAUCGGCCGUUUGUCGCGGUUUCCGCGUCAUGUGGCUGAGAAGUUCAUUAAACCCUCCCACCUAGAGGAAGGAGAAGUCGUAACA
rnacentral:rRNA from 1 species